rnacentral:rRNA from 1 species
CACGUAGGGGCAAGCGUUGUCCGGAUUUAUUGGGCGUAAAGAGCUCGUAGGUGGUUCGAUAAGUCGGGUGUGAAACCUCCAGGCCUCAACCUGGAGACGCCACCCGAUACUGUCGUGACUAGAGUCCAGUAGGGGAGCGUGGAAUUCCUGGUGUAGCGGUGAAAUGCGCAGAUAUCAGGAGGAACACCAGCGGCGAAGGCGGCGCUCUGGGCUGGCACUGACACUGAGGAGCGAAAGCGUGGGGAGCGAACAGG